rnacentral:lncRNA from 1 species
CUUUUCAACUGCCUCACAAGGACAUGUUUGCAAACAGUGACUCAUUCUGGUAUUCUGGUGAACCUAUGGAGCAGGAUGCCUCAGUAUAAGUAAUAUGCAGAUCUUAAAAAGUCACUCUUGGGCUGGAGAGUUGGCUUGGUGGUUAAG